rnacentral:rRNA from 1 species
ACGCUCGACACCUACGGGAGGCAGCAGUGGGGAAUAUUGCACAAUGGGGGAAACCCUGAUGCAGCGACGCCGCGUGAAGGAUGAAGUAUUUCGGUAUGUAAACUUCUAUCAGCAGGGAAGAAAAUGACGGUACCUGACUAAGAAGCCCCGGCUAACUACGUGCCAACAGCCGCGGUAAUCUGAGCGGGCUGGCAAGGC